rnacentral:snoRNA from 1 species
UUACUGUUAAGUAAGAGGUUUUUUUUUCCCCCCAGAAGAACAGGGUUAAAUAAGUUGCUCAGUUACACAGCACAUGCUUGCAUGUAACUGGGGCACACAGCUUCUAGCUUGUGUUCCCUUUAACUGCGAGCUACAUGG